GGUCUCGUGGUCUAGUGGUAUGAUUCUCGCUUUGGGUGCGAGAGGCCCGCGUUCGAAUCGCGGCGGGACCC
rnacentral:tRNA from 1 species